UGAUAACUUUGCUCUAAAUACCCAGUAAAAUCAUUCCGUUUAUAUUCAAUUAGUUCAAAAUAACUUAGCAUUAGUACCUACGGUUCUAGAUGAGAGAAGUGCGGCAGAGAAAAACAUAACCUUAUUUUCGGAUGAGCGAACACUGAAAAUCUUUGAAGUUGCUCAGUCACCGCAACUAUCGGAACAGUGUUUGUUUUACUCCCGCAACAGAUAGUCUCAGUUCUGUCGAGGCUAUCCGUUCCAUUAGGCCGGUAAAGCACUUCUCGUAUUUUCUCUUGAAAAUACGAGAACUGCUUAGUGAUUUAUCCGUGCGCUCUUUCAUCAUCACCUUCGCGUGGGUCCCUUUGCAUUGCUCAAUUUUGGGCAAUGAGAAGGCGGAUUCACUUGCGAAGGUGGGCGCUAUGGAAGGCGACAUUUAUGAUCGACAGAUCGCCUAUAGUGAAUUUUUCUCUAUUUAUCGUCAGCAGUCGCUCGUUAGCUGGCAACAUCAAUGGAGUGAGGGUAGCUUGGGACGAUGGCUACAUUCAAUUAUCCCUAAGGUGUCGAAGUUUGCAUGGUUCAAAGGGUUGGACUUGAGUCGAGACUGUAUACGCGUGAUGUCUCGUCUCAUGUCCAAUCACUAUUGUCUAAACGCUCACUUGUUCCGUGUGGGGUUGGGAGACAGCAAUCUCUGUGAAUGUGGACAAGGUUACCAGGACGCUGAUCACAUCCUUUGGUCUUGUGUGGAGUAUCGUGGAGUCAGAUCACAUUUUUAUGAUUCCCUUCGGGCUCGAGGUAGACAACCUAAUGUUCCAGUUUGGGAUAUUUUGGCUAGACGCGAUUUGGAGUUUA